UACGUAGGGUGCAAGCGUUGUUCGGAAUUAUUGGGCGUAAAGCGUACGUAGGUGGAUUGAAAAGUCGGGUGUGAAAGCCCAUGGCUUAACUGUGGAACUGCGCUCGAAACUUUCAAUCUAGAGGAUGGUAGAGGUAGGUGGAAUUCCUAGUGUAGAGGUGAAAUUCGUAGAUAUUAGGAGGAACACUCGUGGCGAAGGCGGCCUACUGGGCCAUUCCUGACACUGAGGUACGAAAGCAUGGGGAGCAAACAGG
rnacentral:misc_RNA from 1 species